UACGUAGGGUGCAAGCGUUGUCCGGAUUUAUUGGGCGUAAAGAGCUCGUAGGCGGUCUGUCGCGUCGGAUGUGAAAACCCAGGGCUCAACCCUGGGCCUGCAUUCGAUACGGGCAGACUAGAGUGUGGCAGGGGAGACUGGAAUUCCUGGUGUAGCGGUGAAAUGCGCAGAUAUCAGGAGGAACACCGGUGGCGAAGGCGGGUCUCUGGGCCAAUACUGACGCUGGAGGAGCGAAAGCGUGGGGAGCGAACAGG
rnacentral:rRNA from 1 species